ensembl:lncRNA
UUUUAUUAGAAAGUACGUUGACUGAGAACACAUUCUCAUCUAGAGCAGUGACCUGAGAGGGACUUUAACAGAGAUGAGUCCACAAACUUCAAGGGCUUAGGGUACACUAAUGAUCAUUAUGGAGAAUGAGAAGAGAGACACGAGCCGUCCUCCUCUUCAUCCCAACGGGUCCACAUGUAGAGACAGUAGACAUCCUCUGCUGUCUUUGGCAAGCCCGGUAGAUGAUGUCUCUCUUUAUCUUUCUCUCUCUCUCUUUAAGAUUGGCCCAGGUGAUCAAAAGCAAAUGUUAGAAUUAUGGCUUAUUAUUCGUUUUCCCUUCAUUUCCUCUGGCUUGACUGGAUGUUUUCAGACGCCGUGGCGGCACAGUAUGCUUGCCUCCGCCAGAUUUAUGGACCAACCAGGACCCGGCUGAUAUUGAGGCUAGCCAGCUGUGAAAUGCAGGCUGCUACCUACACUGUCAUUACCUGGCAGAAGGACAUUGGAAUUUGCGUGAGGGAAACGGGUGGAAAGGAGGGAGUGCAUCACUCAUGGAAUGAAGAUGUUUGCAUUAUAUUUAGACCAUAUGGUGGAAGAGAAGAAUGCCUAAUUAUAAAU